rnacentral:rRNA from 1 species
UGAGGAAUAUUGCGCAAUGGACGAAAGUCUGACGCAGCCAUGCCGCGUGCAGGAUUGAAGGCCCUAUGGGUUGUAAACUGCUUUUGUACGGGAAUAAACCCUUCUACGUGUAGAAGGCUGAAGGUACCGUAAGAAUAAGCACCGGCUAACUCCGUGCCAGCAGCCGCGGAU